rnacentral:rRNA from 1 species
AUUGGACGCUAGCGGCAGGCCUAACACAUGCAAGUCGAACGAGUGGCGGACGGGUGAGUAAUGUCUGGGAAACUGCCUGAGGGAGGGGGAUAACUACUGGAAACGGUAGCUAAUACCGCAUACCAUCAGAUGUGCCCAGAUGGGAUUAGCUAGUAGGUGGGGUAACGGCUAACCUAGGCGACGAUCCCUAGCUGGUCUGAGAGGAUGACCAGACACACUGGAACUGAGACACGGUCCAGACGCCUACGUGAGGCAGCAGUGGGGAAUAUUGGACAAUGGGCGAAAGCCUGAUGCAGCCAUGCCGCGUGUAUGAAGAAGGCCUUCGGAUUGUAAAGCACUUUCAGCGGGGAGGCGUUACCCGCAGAAGAAGCACCGGCUAACUCCGUGCCAGCAGCCGCGGUAAUUC